AUGCUCACCUGACAGCAAAUACACUAAAAUUGGACCAAUCGAGAGAAGAUUAGCAUGGCCCCUGCAUAAGGAUGACACAAUUCAUGAAGCAUUCCAUAUUUAA